AAGUCGUAACAAGGUUUCCGUAGGUGAACCUGCGGAAGGAUCAUUAAUGAAAUGAUAAUUUUUUGGGGUUUUCCCUGAAAAAUAAUUCACCAUUUGUGCAUUGUUAUUAGAUAUACUUUGGUUAGAGCUUUGAUUUCAUUUAUUGGAAUCAACUUCUUGCUAACUCUAUCCUGUUAAGGACAGUUGGCUAUGAAGCGGCCUACCAAGGUUUUUUUAUCAAACUCUUGUAUUUUGUCUGACCUAAACUAUUAUAAUUAAAUCAUAACUUUCAACAACGGAUCUCUUGGCUCUC
rnacentral:misc_RNA from 1 species